rnacentral:tRNA from 1 species
UUAUAGCUCAGUGGUUAGAGCGUUCGCUUGGUAAGCGAAAGGCCGGUGGUUCAAAUCCGCCUU